rnacentral:rRNA from 1 species
GGUGGUAAUGCCGGAUGCUCCAGUUGGAUGCAUGUCCUUCUGGGAAAGAUUCAUCGGUAUGGGAUGGGGUCGCGUCCUAUCAGCUUGAUGGCGGGGUAACGGCCCACCAUGGCUUCGACGGGUAGCCGGCCUGAGAGGGCGACCGGCCACAUUGGGACUGAGAUACGGCCCAGACUCCUACGGGAGGCAGCAGUGGGGAAUAUUGCACAAUGGGCGCAAGCCUGAUGCAGCGACGCCGCGUGCGGGAUGACGGCCUUCGGGUUGUAAACCGCUUUUGACUGGGAGCAAGCCCUUCGGGGUGAGUGUACCUUUCGAAUAAGCACCGGCUAACUACGUGCCAGCAGCCGCGGUAAUACGUAGGGUGCAAGCGUUAUCCGGAAUUAUUGGGCGUAAAGGGCUCGUAGGCGGUUCGUCGCGUCCGGUGUGAAAGUCCAUCGCUUAACGGUGGAUCCGCGCCGGGUACGGGCGGGCUUGAGUGCGGUAGGGGAGACUGGAAUUCCCGGUGUAACGGUGGAAUGUGUAGAUAUCGG